rnacentral:rRNA from 1 species
GACGAACGCUGGCGGCGUGCUUAACACAUGCGAGUCGAACGGAAAGGCCCUGCUUUUGUGGGGUGCUCGAGUGGCGAACGGGUGAGUAACACGUGAGUAACCUGCCCUUGACUUUGGGAUAACUUCAGGAAACUGGGGCUAAUACCGGAUAGGAGCUCCUGCUGCAUGGUGGGGGUUGGAAAGUUUCGGCGGUUGGGGAUGGACGCGCGGCUUAUCAGCUUGUUGGUGGGGUAGUGGCUUACCAAGGCUUUGACGGGUAGCCGGCCUGAGAGGGUGACCGGCCACAUUGGGACUGAGAUACGGCCCAGACUCCUACGGGAGGCAGCAGUGGGGAAUAUUGCACAAUGGGCGGAAGCCUGAUGCAGCAACGCCGCGUGCGGGAUGACGGCCUUCGGGUUGUAAACCGCUUUCGCCUGUGACGAAGCGUGAGUGACGGUAAUGGGUAAAGAAGCACCGGCUAACUACGUG